rnacentral:misc_RNA from 1 species
AACGCACAUUGCGCUCCUUGGUAUUCCGAGGAGCAUGCCUGUUCGAGCGUCAUUACAACCCUCAAGCACUGCUUGGUAUUGGGCGUCGUCGGCGACGAUGCGCCUCAAAGAUCGCGGCGGUACUGCCUAGCUCUAAGCGUAGUAAAACUUCUCGCUAUAGAUGCCUGGUAGGUGCUUGCCAUACCCCCUAUAUCUUUAAGGUUGACCUCGGAUCAGGUAGGGAUACCCGCUGAACUUAA